UGGGGAAUUUUUCACAAUGGGCGCAAGCCUGAUGAAGCAACGCCGCGUGAGUGAUGAAGGCUUUCGGGUCGUAAAGCUCUGUCGGUUGGGAAAAACGGCAUCUUGUCUAAUAAACAAGGUGAGUGAUGGUACCAGCAAAGGAAGAGGCGGCUAACUCUGUGCCAGCAGCCGCGGUAAUACAGAGGCCUCAAGCGUUGUUCGGAAUUACUGGGCGUAAAGGGAAUGUAGGUGGCGGUGUAAGUCAGAUGUGAAAGCCCUGGGCUCAACCCGGGAACUGCAUUUGAUACUGCAUUGCUCGAGUGUGGAAGAGGAGAGUGGAAUUCCCGGUGUAGGAGUGAAAUCCGUAGAUAUCGGGAGGAAUUCCGAUGGCGAAGGCAACUCUCUGGUCCAUAACUGACAC
rnacentral:rRNA from 1 species